rnacentral:rRNA from 1 species
AGCUAAUUAACUGGACGUUACCCACAGAAGAAGCACCGGCUAACUCCGUGCCAGCAGCCGCGGUAAUACGGAGGGUGCGAGCGUUAAUCGGAAUUACUGGGCGUAAAGGGUGCGUAGGUGGUUGAUUAAGUUAUCUGUGAAAUUCCUGGGCUUAACCUGGGACGGUCAGAUAAUACUGGUUGACUCGAGUAUGGGAGAGGGUAGUGGAAUUUCCGGUGUAGCGGUGAAAUGCGUAGAGAUCGGAAGGAACACCAGUGGCGAAGGCGGCUACCUGGCCUAAUACUGACAC